AGGGGUGUGGCUCAGUGGUAGAGCACUUGCUUAGCUUAUGCAGGGUCCUGGGUUCCAUGUCCAGCACCACAA
rnacentral:tRNA from 1 species